ACUGGUUUUGUAUUUUCAUAAUAAAAAACAAAAAAAAAAUCUGUUCUUAUCAGUUUAAUAUCUGAUACGUCCCCCAUCGGGGGACCACAUAUUAAACGGAUUUUUGGAACAGGGAGCUGGAUCAGGAGCUUNN
ensembl:snRNA U2 U2 spliceosomal RNA